GGAUACGGCCAUACUGCGCAGAAAGCACCGCUUCCAUCUGAAUAGUGAAGUUAAGCUGCGCCAGGCGGUGUUAGUACUGGGGUGGGCGACCACCCGGGAAUCCACCGUGCCGUAUCCU
rnacentral:rRNA from 1 species